rnacentral:rRNA from 1 species
GAUGAACGCUGGCGGCGUGCCUAAUACAUGCAAGUCGAGCGGACGGACGAGAAGCUUGCUUCUUUGAUGUUAGCGGCGGACGGGAGUGACACACGUGGAUCAUCUCCCUAACAUUCUGGGAUCACCUCGGGACACCGGCUAUAAUCCCGUAUAAUAUUUUGCACCGCAUGGUUCAAAGGUGAAAUACGGUCUUGCUGGCGGUUUGCGAUGGCUGCGCGCUUUAUUAGCUAGUUGGUGGGGUAGUGGCUUACCACGGCUAUGACGGGUAGCCGGCCUGAGAGGGUGACCGGCCACAGUGGGACUGAGAUACGGCCCAGACUCCUACGGGAGGCAGCAGUGGGGAAUAUUGCACAAUGGGCGGAAGCCUGAUGCAGCAACGCCGCGUGCGGGAUGACGGCCUUCGGGUUGUAAACCGAUUUCGCCUGUGACGAAGCGUGAGUGACGGUAAUGGGUAAAGAAGCACCGGCUAACUACGUG